GUCCUCUCGCGCUUCUCGCCACGCUGCUGAAUUCGGUGGUUGAUAAUUCCUUUGCUGUUUUUCUUUCGUCCUCCCGAAGGUCCUCUUCCGAGUUGUUGUUAUCUUUGUUUUUGCUGCGGCCGUGUUUGCUUCUCCGGUAAGGCUCCCGUGUUGUAUCGAAAUAAGGAAAUAAUAAUACAAUUAAAAAGAUGAAUAAAUCCGACAAAUAAUGCCCCUCUGGAGAUUUCGGUACGGCUCUAAUGUUUUGAGACUGGCGCGGAUGCGUUUUCCGCACUCAGCGAUCGGAGAGGAAUCCGGCGGACGUGCGCGGAACGGCAACGUCACAGUAUAUAAUGGUACAACGACCACUUGGGUGAAAUGAACCAUGGACAACAUCAAAUAUUCUUCUACAAAGUUAUUGAGAGAAACUAUCAUUGGCACUGAAACGGAUUCAAUUCUUUAAAGGGA